rnacentral:lncRNA from 1 species
GGGCAGAAUAAAAAAUUACUAAAAAAAAAUCUUCUCAAAAUUACGGAAAUCGAGCGGCGGCGGCGGCGGCGGCUCCCCCCGCCCGCCGGCCCGCCCGCCCCCUCCCCGGCUCCCCGGCCCCGGGCGCAGCGCGCAUGUGUCCUGCUAUAAUUAUGAUUAUCAAUAAUGCAUUGCGAUUAAUCAUAGAGGGGCUCUUUGAAAGGCGAUUGGCACCGGGCCAGCGCUAUUCAAACCCGCUCGCCUUAAUCAAUUAGUUCGUGAUUUGCUGCAGACCCCUGUCUCUCCGCGCGCUGGCCCAAUAAGCCGGCCGCGGGGCUGGCUCUGCGCGCCGCGCCGCCCGACACUGGGUUAACCCUCUUCGCGACCGCCCGGGACUCCGCGGCCCGGCCGCCGCGGGCCUGCCUCCUCGCCUCUGCGCGCCCGGCGCCCGGGCCCGCGCCCCCCCUCCCUCGGUCCCCCCCCCAUCCCGGGCUGGGCCGACCCGAAUUAGCAUGCCCUCCCCGGAAUUAAGCCUCCCGGGUGGGGGGUGGGGCCGGGCGGCGGGGGCUGGAGACCCAGGCUGCGGGCGCGCGGCGAACUUCCCAACUCCGGCGCUAGGCGCGCCGGACCGCGGGGGGAGGGAGUCCCGUGGCGGGAUUUGGGGGGAGGAAGUCCCGUUUCGUGAGUGUUUCUUCGUUUCUUUAAGAGCUACCAGAAAACAGCCCACCCCCACCCCAUAAAAAAAAAAAAAUAAGCGAGUGGGGAAGAGCCAGCCCCACGCCGGUCCGCCUCCCGCCCGCGGCCCGGCCUCCCUCCCGCUCGCCGCCUGGCUCGGCGCUCCUGCGCCCCGAGUUCUCCAUCCCCUGGAUCGCGGGCUCGCGGGGGCGCGGAGAAGAGGACCGAGGAAAGGAUUCUCUGGAAGCUGCGGGAUCCCUCAGGAAAUGGUGGUUGACAGAGCUGGACAAAUGGACGCAGCGCAGUCCCCGCCCUCAAGGAGACUAGAGACGGGUCAGGGAGACGGAUGCGCACACAACUUCAGAGCCUUCACCGGGACUCCUGGGGACGUCAGCUGUGACACUCACCAGGCGUCAUGGCAGUUUCCUGCGCGGGGGCUUCUGCAGAAUCUCUGCCACGUCCCGGACUUGGCUCUGUGCCGCCGUGGCAGGGAAGCCACGGUUUCCCAGCAGGGUUCAUGGGACCCUCGAAGGAUGAGGAUUUCUAAAGAAAGGUCCUCAAUUUCUCAUCUAGGGGCUUUCUGCUUCUGAAAGUAUGGCCCGCUCUUAAAAGAACACAUUUUAUAGCAGGAUCUGGGACACAUGGACACGCACAUCACUGAAACAAGGGUUUCAAAAGCCAAAACUUGCCCAGAAUAGAGGUGGAACAGUCUUAGCAUCGUGGUGCUCAGAGAGUGGUCCCGGACCAGCAGCAGGUGUCGCCCGGGAUCUUGUUGGAGAGGCGGACUCCCAGGCCCCACCCCACAUAUGCUCUAUGGGGGGUUCUUGGAACGUUACCAAGACUUCCAUGUGAUUCUGAUACAUUCUAAAGCUUAAGAACCACUGCAUUGUCAUAUAAUAUACUAUGCUAUUCUAAUCUAUUAAUGAAAAAACACUUUAUUUUUUAAAAGUUUAUUUAUUUUGAGAGGGGGGAAUGAGUGGGGGAAGGGCAGAGAAAGAGAGGGAGAGAGAGAAUCCCAAGCAGGCUCCAUGCUGUCUGCGCAGAGCCUGACGUGGGGCUUGAACUGAUGAACUAGGAGAUCAUGACCUGAGCUGAAACCGAGAGUCAGACGCUUAACCGACUGAGCCACCCAGGCGCCCUGGAAAAAAAAACACCUUAUUUUUAAGCUACAAGUUUGGGGGUAGUCUAAAGGCUACCUAAAAAACUGUCUGAGGCUCUGUGUGGGCUCCCAUCUGCUUCCCUUUCCAAGUUCAUCUCGUACUAUCUGCCCCUGACAACCUUGCUCUAGCCAGCCCGCCUCCUUUCUGCUUCUCAAACUCAGCCCUUUCUAGAAGCUCCUGAACCUCUGCCAUGUUGCACCCCUGCCGGGAGCCUCUCCCUGCGGCUCUCACAGGACUUGUUCGUGCUCUAGAAGGAGCCGUGACUUAGAUGCUCUUCCUCAGGGAGACUGCCCUGGCCAGUCUGUUUCCUUUUUGGUAGAGCCCUUAACACAGCUGAUACCUGUCUGCCUCCCGCUGAAGGUAAGCUGAGUGGAACGAUGCCUGGCAUAUAGUAGGUCUUCAGUAAAUAUUUGUCGAAGGAAGGAAUGGA